AGAAAGACCAUUUCUCCCAUCGCUGUGUAUAUCGGGAAUUAUUUGUUUCGAGAGAGGCCGAGUUUAGACUGUUGAAGGGUACCCGAAAUGAUGCCACUGGCGUGUGCUUGGUGUUUUUAGGGUUCUCUUGCCAGCGGACCUGGAUUUCAUUCAAAUGGCUGUGGUGACUUAUGAGAUCGCAUAUGUUGCGGUGGUCGGAAUUGUUUGUAAACGUUUGCCGAAACUGCUGCCGUUGGACAUGAUUGUGAUGCCAUUACUCAUUGCCGCAGUUGUUUCUCUCAAGUCGUGCUUUCCUGGAUCUUGCAUGGGUUUUGCUACCGGUUGUGUGUUUCUUCUUUUCUUGCAUGGGCUGUGCUACCAGAUCACCGGACGCAGGAGGUCGAUCUGACAGCGAAGGCACUUGAUGGCAACUAAUAUGGGGUACACAACUCCUCAAACUGUAGUUCAAAUAUUUCCAUCGGAUGUUUGAUUGGAUGAACUCUCCUUAAAAACACCCCAUACCCCCGCAUAUAGAUGGGGAGAUGCAACUAUAUCCCUAUAAUCCCAUCCACCGUGGAGGGAGCCAACCGUCUGGGCCGAAGCUAGUCGCGACCACGCCGCUGCAUCGUCGGCGGCAAGGCAGCCUCCCCUUCCUGAGUUGGCCAUCGGCAAUCUCCACCGAUACCACGCUGCCGGCCUUCUACAUCAACACAUCUCUAAAACCCUAAAAAAUUAUUUGGAGAGCCCCUAAACACACUUGGGCCCCGCUUGGAUUCCUGUUUCCGAUCGUAUCCAGCUGGUUUAUGAUACACGUCUGGACUGGUCGUUUUGUUUUCAGGCGGAAAAUUAGCUGUGACAGAUAAUUUAUAUCUGUAAAAUAAAUACCAGUAUAAAAAUUUACACCCAAUCCAAGCGGGGCCUUGGAGGUUUUUGAGGGUACCGGUGGAGAUGCUCAAAGCAGCUGGCCAGUGACAUUUCCAACGCACGCAUUAAUGAAAUAAUCAAAUCCUACCUAAAUAUUAAUACACAAUGUAUAUCUUGCAUAAUAUUAAUGUUUAAUAGAAUUAAUAUUUGCCUAAUAUUAACAUGGAAUCGUACACUAUAUAUAGAAGAAGCAGCGUAGCUGCUUUCUCAGUGUGAACCUUCCUUCCCUUGCGACGCGUGAAACCCCACUCAAACUCAAAAGCAAACCAAACAGGAGCCCUCUCUUCUCGGCCGCCAUCUCGCAUACGCCGCCGCUCAACUCCCCACCCCACUCCACUCCACUCCAUCAGCCACGUGCACGUACCGCCCGGAACAUGCCGAUGCCGGCGAUCAUGGACGACCUCCUGCCGGAGUUCUUCAUCCGCCUGCCCACCCCUGAGGACCUCGCCCGCGUCACCGCCACCUGCUCCUCCUUCCGCCAAGCCGCCACCGACCGCGCCUGCACCCGCGAAUUCCGCAGGCUCCACGCCCCUCCGCUCCUCGGCAUCGUCGACGGCGCCGGCUUCCACCCCGCCCUCCCGCCCCACCCCUCCGCGCCCGCCGGGAGCGCCCUCGCAAACGCCCCCGGCAAGGACUUCUCAUUCUCCUUCCUGCCCGCCCCCAACCGCUGGGUCAUGAAGGACGCCAGCGACGGCCGCGUCCUCCUCGACCGGGCUCCCGAGGGCGUCAAGAAGGCGGAGUUUACGGAGGUCGUCGUGUGCGACCCCCUGCACCAGCGAUACCUCCUGCUCCCCCCGGUCCCUCAAGACCAGCUGGUGGCGAACCCGGUGUGUAUGGCAUACGGGCCCUUCCUCGCUCCCCCCAGCGACGAGGAGGCGGAGGAGGCGCCAGACACGUCAUUCCGAGUGAUGUGGACAGCGCGCUGCGAGGCUAACAUGGUCGCCUUCGUCUUCUCGUCCAGCUCCGGGCAAUGGCGGGCGGUCCCGUCCCAGAGCUGGAGCGAUCUGUUCGCCGUCGACAUUGAGCUUUCAUGGGGGCCUUGCUUGGUCGGGCGCCACUACGCCCAUGGCUGCUUCUACUGGGAAACGAGUUGUCGGGGAAUGUGGCUCGUGCUCCACGCCCGGACCAUGGACUUCUCCCUUGUCGACAUUCCAUGCACAGCCGGAGGUGCUGGGCUAGACACAGCCAUCGUGGAGGCAGGGGAAGGCAGGCUUGGGAUGUUCGCGCUUGCAUUUGUAGGUGGCGUAUAUUACCUCCACUACACCAUUAGGGAAGCAGACAACCAGUGGAAGCUGAAGCAGACAGUGGCGCUGCGUUAUGGGUACUGGUAUUGCAUCCUCGGUGCAACGGAUGCCUACUUGCUCCUGUUAAAGCAUGCUGACAACCGGUCAUUGGAGCCGGCAGAUUGCGAAUGCCUCUCACUGGACAUCAAGACGAUGCGCCUUGAAAGGGUGUGCUCGUUGAAGCAAUGGGGCGUAGAUGCACAAAUAUAUACCAACUUCCCACCAUCGUUGCUGUCAGCCCCGACAAUUUGAAAUAGGUAAAGCUUUCUAUUGGCUCAAAGUACCUUGUCUCGUCUUGAUGGUUAUCACAUGCCUUAGUUAUAUGAUGAUGCUUAUAGUUCCUUGCUGUAUUUGUUUAGAUUGUUUUUUUUGAGGAUAUGUUGUAUUUUUUUAGUAUGUCUGCAUGUUGAAGCUUUCCAUUACUUACUUGAAUUUCAAUUGCUGAUCUUAUAUUUCUCACCAGCAUACUUGGGCUUAUAGUACAUGUUUUCAUAUGCAUCCAUAUCAUGACCGUAAUGAAGAUUAGGUCCUAUAUAUGACUAGUUUAUCAUCCAUCCUUUAACAUCACAACGGUUCAACAAAUAUCUGUGUGCCUUGAGAUUCGUUUGGCAUGUGGCCAGUUGUUUGAUUUGCUGGAAUACAAAACCGCAACUGGAAAAUGCGCCAGUUUGGAAUACGAAGGAAUUUUCUGUUCCUAUAACAGAUCAAUUGUAUUGACUUCUCCUCUGCAAAAUAAGAUUGUAUUGACUUUUGGUUAUCAUCGUAUUGAGUAUUGGCUACUUAUCUUGUUAGUUGUGUCGAUUGUUCUGAUGCACAGUUUCAUCCACACUGACCCUUGUUUUGUUUCUCUUGUUACUCGAACAGAAAUUCCCAUGUGAAGGACAAGGAUACCAAGUCGUUGGAUGGCAUCUACGUCAGCGAUAAGGGCGCCGUCGCUGCUGCAUUUCAUUGGUGUUUUACUAGUUUGUGCUGGUUGAGGAGGGAAGCAGAUACUCUAUAUCAUUUUUUUUCGUUUUUUUUUUGCGAUGAAGAUACUCUAUGUUGUUGGAUGCAUGUUUGGGCCAUCUGCCCUGUUUGAUAUUUGCCUGCUUGUUGUGGUAUACAAGUAGAAUCUCUUGUUCAUUCCGGAUUGAUUAGGUUUUGGUUAGCAGCGAGUGCAUGUGCGCAGCUGUUAAAUGGAGGCUAUGAACGUUUUCUUUUUUAUGAAAGUGGAGGGUGAAAACAUUGUUAUGUCUGCCUGCAUCUCGGCGCUAAUAAAAUGUUUCAUAAGUGAUGGUCAUAAUAUUAUUUAUUUUUGCGGGGAGAUGGUAAUAAAAUGAUUGAAAAGGAUAGAAUCACACUUGCGUGCUUGCUAGGUCUGCUCCCUAGAAAUGGCCCAGGAGCUGCUAGGCUUCUCCAUUGGAAAAAAGUUGUACUGGGUAGGAACGAGCCCGGUGGCUUGCUGUAGCCAAGGCCAACACUACCAAGACCUUUAGCAGCGCAGCUCUAAAGGAAACACUAAAGUUUGUGGGGAAUCUAGCUCAUGUAAGGGAGAUCAGAGAAGUUGACAAUAAUCUGUUGGUCAUACAGGUUUUCUUCCUGGGCGAUUGGAAGCGUGUCAUGCACCAUUGAAUUUAGCGGGAGAAAUAAUUUUCCUGGAGGUCAAGUAUGAGAUGAUCAGGUUUUUCCUAUGCAGUUUGUGGACUCCUGUAGUGGGGCAAUUUUCUAGUGGCAAAGAGAAGGAACAAUGCAAAUGACCCAAGAGAAUGACCAUGGGGGUAGAUUGAUGUAGGGUGGAACCCUAUAGCGUCGAUCUUUCAUGUUUGGAGUGGAUCCUACGGGGAAUCACGAAGAACACGCGGAAGCACAAAGGGAAACACGGGGGAAAACGAGAGAGAAUCACUCAACCAACAAGGAAUCGAUCACACAAGUGCUAGAUCACCACACACAUAAGAGAUCCACAAGAUCCAAAGUCAACAAAGGUAAGGAUACAAAGGAACCGUUCUUCUCCAAGAGGAGGCCUUGAUGUUCUUCCCUAGAAGGGGUCUUGAAUCCGCUUGGGGGAUCUUCUCUAAAGAGGUCGUGAUCUCCGAGGAGAAGUAUCCAAGUGGAUGAGCAAAGGCUCUCACACAAAUAUGAGCUAAUCCAAUGCUAAGUCUCAAAGUGAGGAGAGGGGGUCCUAUAAAUAGACUAGGGGGCGAAGGGGUACAUGGGCUCAGCCCAACACGCGCGCGCAGGCGCUGGCCGGAUGAUCCGGAGGAGGAGCCGGAUGAUCCGGGCUGGUCCGGAUGGUCCGGGUGGAGGCCCUGAUGAGCUGGAUGCCCGGCUGGUGGCGGCGCGGGGCCGGAUGUCCGGCUGGUGGUCCGGACGUCCGGGCAGGGUCCGGAUGAUCCGGGACUGGUCCGGAUGAUCCGGCUUCAGGUGAGAGCUUCGGGUGUCUUCAGGGUGAUUUAGCCGGAUCGUCCGGGCCGGGGUCCGGAUCGUCCGGGCCGGGGUCCGGAUCGUCCGGCCAUCCUGGGCCUUGGUGCUUUUCCUCUCCGUCUUCAUGCAUGUCUUCCGCUUCCGGUUCUCCUUGCUUCCUAGCUUCUUCAUGGUUAACUCCUUGGUGCCUGAGUAUGCAUAGCGUUUCCGUUUGAGGUAGUAUCCAUGUCUCAUGUGAAUCGAAAGGGAAUUGUGAGAGGAGUGAUGUCACCUCGGUUUCAAGAGCUCUUGCGCGUGCUCGAGUCAUAGGUCCUUGUGGGGUUGGAUGUGUUGAUGUAGAGUCCAUGGGGAUGAUGGAAGGAUGCUCCGCAUCAUAUCCCCUCCCUUCGAAAGGAUCCGACCUCGGAUCAAGAUCUUCAUCACCAUGGAAAGGCGAGAGGUCUUUGACGUUGAAGGUGUCGCUCACGUUGUACUUGUCGCUUGGUAGGUCGAGCUUGUAAGCGUUGUUGUUGUAGCGUGCUAACACCUUGAAGGGUCCAUCGGCUCGAGGUAGAAGUUUGGACUUGCAUUCGUUGGGGAAGCGUUCCUUGCGAAGGUGUAGCCACACGAGAUCGCCUAUGUUGAAGAUCAUGGGUUGCUUGUUGAUGUUGAGCUUGGUCGCUAGUCGUUGUACUUGGUGCUCGAUGGUGUUUCUUGUAUCCUCAUGUAUCUUCUUGAUGUAGUUUGCUCGUGCACUCGCAUCCAUGUUGGUGCGCUCUUGUAGAGGUAGAGGUAGAAUGUCCAAUGGGGACAAUGGGUUGAAGCCGUAGACGACCUCGAAGGGGGACUUGCCGGUCGUCGAAUGUCUUGCACGGUUGUAGGCGUACUCGGCGAUGGGUAGACAUGCUUCCCACUCCUUGAUGUUCUUCUUGAUCAACACGCGAAGUAGAAUGGAGAGAGUCCGGUUCGUCACCUCCGUUUGGCCGUCAGUUUGAGGAUGGUAUGCGGAUGAGAACAAUAGCUGGAUUCCGAGCUUGGUGCAAAGAGUCUUCCAAAAGUAACUCAAGAACUUGACGUCGCGGUCGGAGACGAUUGUCUUUGGUACUCCAUGGAGGCGCAAGAUUUCCCUACAAAAGAGAUUUGCAAUAUGUGAAGCAUCGUCUACCUUGUUGCAAGGAAUGAAAUGUGCCAUCUUAGAAAAUCGGUCCACAACAACAAACACGGAAUCCUUUCCAUUUUGAGUUCUAGGCAAACCAAGUACAAAAUCCAUGCUAAUGUCUUCCCAAGGUUGAUAAGGAAUAGGAAAAGGCAUGUAAAGACCAUGAGAUUGAGCUUUUGACUUAGCUUUGCGGCAUGUAGAGCAUCGGGUGGUGAAGCGCGAGACGUCUCGAAACAUCUUGGGCCAAAAGUAGUUCUUGGAGAGCGUGGCGAAAGUCUUGUCGCGUCCAAAAUGUCCCAUGAGUCCGCCUCCAUGAGCCUCUUGCAAAAGGAGCAAACGAAGAGAAGACUCGGGAACGCAUAGUUUGUUAGCUCUCAUAAGAUAACCAUCCUUGAGGUAAUAUUGUUCCCAAGAUGUAUGCAUCACACAUUUAGCAUAAUGAGGUGCAAAAGAUGGAUCACUAGCAUACAAAUCUUUUAUGUGCUCAAAGCCAAUAACAUUCAACUCAAGUUGGGUGACAAGCGUGCAUAUGCGUGAAAGUGCGUCGGCAACUACAUUUUCCUUACCCUUAAUGUACUUGAUCACAUAUGGGAAAGAUUCAAUAAAUUCACUCCAUUUGGCAUGACGCUUGUUCAAUUUAGUUUGACCUUUCAAGUACUUAAGCGUUUCAUGAUCGGUAUGGAUGACAAACUCAUGAGGUCUAAGAUAAUGUUCCCAAACAUGUAGUACACGCACUAAAGCAUACAAUUCUUUGUCAUAUAUGGGAUAGUUAAGUUGAGCACCGGAGAGUUUUUCACUAAAAUAAGCAAUGGCUUGUUUUUCUUGCAUCAAAACUCCGCCAAUUCCGGUACCACUUGCAUCACAAUGAACCUCAAAAGUUUUGUCAAAAUUGAGCAAAGCAAGAAUCGGAGCAUGAGUAAGCAAAGACUUGAGCUCAUCAAAAGCGUUGGAUUGCAAAGAUCCCCUAAUAAAAGGAGUAUUCUUCUUACUCAAAGCAUGCAAAGGAGCGGCUAUUGUGCUAAAAUCUUUCACAAAGCGGCGGUAAAAACUUGCAAGACCAAGGAAACUUCGCACUUGUUGCAAAUUGGUGGGUUGGGGCCAAGUUUUAAUUGCUUCAAUUUUAGUUUCAUCAACAUGGACACCCUUGGAAGAGACAACGAAACCCAAGAAAACCACUUUGUCAACGCCAAAAGUGCAUUUUUUCAAGUUGGCAUAAAGACUUUCCUUUCGAAGUGUUUGCAAAACAAGCUUAACAUGAUCAAGAUGCUCUUUCAUGGUUUUGCUAAACACAAGAAUAUCAUCGAAGUAAACCACAACAAAGACUCCAAUAUAAGGUCGAAGUACAUGAUGCAUGAGACGCACAAAAGUACCGGGAGCCUCCGAUAAACCCAUAGGCAUAACCAACCACUCAUAUAAGCCAAAUUUGGUUUUAAAAGCAGUUUUCCAUUCAUCACCCUCAUGAAUGCGGAUUUGAUAAUAGCCACUUCUAAGAUCAAUUUUUGAGAAAAAGUUGGCUCCACUAAGUUCAUCAAGCAUAUCAUCUAAGCGAGGAAUGGGAUGCCUAUAGCGAACGGUGAUAGCAUUUAUAGGUCUACAAUCGGAGCACAAGCGGAAACUUCCAUCGGGCUUAGGCACAAGUAUAACGGGAACGACACAAGGGCUUAAGCUUUCACGUACAUGACCGUUGUCGAUUAGUUGUUGUACUUGCCGUUGAAUCUCCUUGGUUUCUUCGGGAUUGACACGGUAUGGAGCUUUGUUUGGAAGUGGUGCUCCGGGGAUGAGGUCGAUUCGAUGCUCAAUGCCUCGUAGAGGAGGUAGACCCAAAGAUAGUUCAUCGGGGAAAACAUCUUGAAAUUCCUGCAAAAGAGAUUGAAACACCAAAGGUAGCUCGUGAAUGGUGUUAGUUUUUGUUUCUCCAUCCUUGCACACAAGGACAAAGUGCAUCACACUCGAUGGGUUCUCACACACUUCUCUCAUCUCACUUUUGGUGGCAAAUAGUAUGAGGUUUUUCUCUCUAGGCGAAGAGGCGCUCAAGUUUGGCUUGUGGCUCUCACUCACUUUUUGGUGGCUCACUUUCUCACUCUUCUCUCUUUGGUGGGUGGCUUGCUUGUCGGCUAUCACUUGACUAGGAGACAUGGGUCGUAGCACAUAUUCUUUUCCUUUCAUCUUGAAGCUAUAGUGGUUUGUACGCCCAUUGUUGAAAACACCACGGUCGAAUUGCCAUGGUCGACCAAGGAGGAGGUGGCAAACGGUCAUUGGGACCACAUCACACUCCAAAGUGUCCUCAUAUGCACCAAUUUUGAAGGAUACUUGGACCGUAUGCUCAACUCGUAUAGUGCCGGAGUCACUUAGCCAUUGAACCUUGUAGGGGUGCGGGUGCUUCUUCUUGACCAAUUGAAGCUUGGAGCAUAGUUCUUCGCUUGCCAAGUUGUGGCAACUACCUCCAUCGAUGAUGACCUUGACGGAUCGUCCAUUGAUGCCAGCCUUUGUGUGGAAGAUGUGGCAUCGUUGGUCUUCUUCUUGUUGAUGUUGAAGAGUCAAUACCUUGGAGACAACAAGAGCGGGGCUCGUAUCUUCAUCACAAAAGACUUGAUCAUCUUCAUCCUCGUUCACGCGCCGGUGCAUGGCCACUUGCUCAAUAGCUUCCAUUUCAUCUUCACUCAUUGAGUCGUAGGUGCCAUCGUCGUUGAGGAUCAUGGUGCGCUUGUUGGUGCAUUCAUAGGACUUGUGGCCUCGGACGCCGCAAGUAAAACACUUGAAGGAGCUUGUCUUGACGGUCUCAUCGGUUGGAGUAGAUGAUGAAGCACGCGGCUUGAAGUUGCUUGUAGUAGGAGGAAGACGACUUGAACUUGUAGAAGUUUUCUUGUAAGUUGACUUGUUGUCGUUGCUUGGAGAAGGUUUGGUUGAUGUCGAAGUUGGAGUAGUUGUUGAAGCUUGGUUAUUGGAGAAGUCGUAGGUCUUGGAGGAUUACUUGGCAUACUUGAAGUCAUCUUGUACUUGACGUUCCGCCUUUGUAGCUUGAUGCACGAGCUCAAUGAGGGUGGAGUAGGGUUGGAAGUCGGCGAUCUUCUUGAUGGGAUGAUUGAGUCCAUUCAAGAAUCGUGCCAUUGUUUGCUCAUCAUCCUCCGUGACAUUGGCUCGAAUCAUGGCAAUCUCCAUUUCCUUGUAGUAUUCUUCAACACUCUUUGUUCCUUGCUUGAGGAGUUGUAGCUUCUUGAAGAGAUCGCGGUUGUAGUAGGUUGGCACAAAAUGUUCUCGCAUGACAUCCUUCAUUUGAGCCCAAGUGGUGAUUGGGGGUUCACCUCUUGCUUGUCGACGCUCAAGGACUUGUUCCCACCAUAUGAGCACAUAGUCUUGGAACUCAAGUGAUGCCAUAGCGAUCUUCUUCUCUUCCUCAUAGUUGUGCAAAUGAAAGAUUUUGUCGACCUUCAAUGCCCAUGAGAGGUACUCUUCGGGAUCAUUGCUUCCAUUGAACUUGGGCAUUGUGAAUUUGAGCUUUCCAUAGCGUUGCUCUUCAUUGUGUUGUUGGCGAUGGUGAUGAUGACACCCUUAACGUGGAGGGUAAUCAUCCUCAUGUUGCUCUUGGUGUGGAGGAAGUCCAUUAUCAACUUGUCCUUAUUGACCUUGAGAUUGAGGUUGAGCUUGAGGAGCUUGUGAGGUAGCUUGACGUUGGACACGCGGUUCCUCUCUUGGAUUUCUUCUCGAAGGGCUUCCUCUUGAUUGCGCCUUUCGUGAUUGCGGUUGGCGAUAGCUCGACUUGAUGCUUGAAGGGCACGUUCCGCCUCAAGAGCUUGUGCUUCUCGUUGUUGUUGUUGAAGACGUUGAGCCUCUACGUCUUGUUGUUCUUGGUGUAGACGCGCUCGUUCUUGUUCUUCUUGGAAACGAAGACAUUGUCGUUCUUGAGCUUGAGCAAACGCUACUUGGUUUGAUUGAGGACGAGGAACUUGUUCAUCGACUUGCUCUUGUGAAUGCUUGUCAUGUAGCGGGUUGCGAGAUGCAUGACGGUCUUGACGCGCGGCUCGUCGAAGAGUGUUCGAUGAUGGUGUACGUGAGCCGGAGAAGGAGUCGUCGGAGUGUCGACUUGAGUGGCUCCGUCUUGAGUAUGACGAUGUAGAAGGAGGCCGGUUCACCAACAAAGCGCGGAUCUCGUCCAUUCUUGCAUCGUUCUCUUGCUUGUGCGCGUCGAGCUUGUUGUCGAAGUAGUCUCUUGUACGUUGCUCGGAGAGUCGUAAGUCGGUGGCGAGGUUGUCGAUGCGGUCGUUCAUUGCUUGUUGCUCUUGGUGCAACGCUCGUUGUGCGCCAAAGAGGUGGCUCUUGGUGACGUAUGAUGACAUGUCGUCGUCUUGCUCAAUGAAGAGUGGGUUGGUAGAAGUACUUGGCCUAUCCAUCAUUUCAAGCAAAUUGUGAGUGGUAGAAGGAGAAGAACUAAUACCAAUGUGCCUUUGACCGAUGUUGAAGAUGAAUCAAGUUCACUCAAAUGCGGACAAUGAAAUAGCACUAUUGGUACCAAUCCUUGUCGGUUCUCACACCUACACAAGUAAAAGCUUUUGGUGGAGCUUGGUUAGGAUGGUGGCACAAAAUUGAUUGCAAUCGUUAGUUUCAGUCAAAAAUGUUGAAAAAGAUUCGCAAAUUCGCAAAUGCAACAAGUAGACCAAGCAAGUAGUGGUACAUGGAAACACACACGCAAAUAGAUAAAUGGGAUUGUGCAAACCAAAAGUGAGCCAAAAUGUGGAAUCCACGAAAAUGCUCUUGUUGCACAAUACUAGAGAGACGCUAGCACGAUUGCACAAUAGGCGGAUACGGAGCUUGUGCACAACCUACUAGGCAAAAAUGCAACGAUCUCUAUCCCAAGUAUGCUAUAUGUAUGGUAUUUCGGUGCUAUGAUCCAAGAUGAUCUUAUAUGACAAUCUUAAUGUUGUAUGAUGCUAUGUUUCUUGCUUAUAAGCUCUUUGCUUAUCUUUCCUCUUUGCUUAAAAGCUUGAGUGGCUCUUUCUCUUUUGAGCUCUUUUCUUAUGCAAACUUCAUGAACCAAGAUAGCAAUUGUGUAUGCGAUGACAACUUUGUGCACACAAGUUGAUUCCGAGAUAUGCACCACAAUGGUAUGUAUGAUAUGGAUUAUGAAUACUAAUGUGCACAAGUCACGUUGCCGGCAAUACUCAAUGGCUAGUCUCGAUGGGUAAGCAACGCAAAAGAUGGGGUAUGAUGGUUAUCAAUGCAAUUGCAAGGUAUGACAAAGAUGUCGUCGAAGUUACCGUCCGUAGCGAAGAUGAGUAGUCGACGAAAAUGAGCGUUAGUUGUUGAUGUCGUGCCGCACCUAAAUAGCCGAAACACAAUAGGACACGGAAAUCUCAACUCAAAUUCUCGAACCCAAAGUCGAAUGGUAUUACGGAGGUUGUGUCGUGGGAUUUUGGCAGGUGGAAGUGGUGGUGGUUGAAGUGGGGAAGUAAGUAGACGUAGGUGGUGGUGUUGAAGAACUGCAGAAAUGCAGUUUCAGCAGAGGAAGCCGGAUGAUCCGGGCCAGGAGCCGGAUGAUCCGGGCGUGUCUGGAUGAUCCGGGUCAGGGUCCGGAUGAUCCGGGCAGGUCAAUCGCGGUCGGGAACUGCUCGGGAAGAACUCGAAAACGGCAAGAAAUUCGACGAUUCCGCGGAUUUUGGAUGGAUUUCGAGGGGGGGGGGAAGGUGGGGAAAAGCAAGAUCCACGAGUUACACACCAAAUCCACGGAUCAAAAUCAACAAAACAUAAUCAAAACCAACAAAUCACAAAAAAAUUUGGGGGCUAUUUUUGGUGGGGAUUUUCGGAUUUAGGACGAAAACAACAAAAUCAAGCUAGAAAACACGGGGUAGGGGCUCCAAAAACGUGAUCAACGUGGCUCAUGAUACCAUAUGAUGUAGGGUGGAACCCUAUAGCAUCGAUCUUUCACGUUUGGAGUGGAUCCUACGGGGAAUCACGAAGAACACGCGGAAGCACAAAGGGAAACACGGGGGAAAACGAGAGAGAAUCACUCAACCAACAAGGAAUCGAUCACACAAGUGCUAGAUCACCACACACAUAAGAGAUCCACAAGAUCCAAAGUCAACAAAGGUAAGGAUACAAAGGAACUGUUCUUCUCCAAGAGGAGGCCUUGAUGUUCUUCCCUAGAAGGGGUCUUGAAUCCGCUUGGGGGAUCUUCUCCGAAGAGGUCGUGAUCUCCGAGGAGAAGUAUCCAAGUGGAUGAGCAAAGGCUCUCACACAAAUAUGAGCUAAUCCAAUGCUAAGUCUCAAAGUGAGGAGAGGGGGUCCUAUAAAUAGACUAGGGGGCGAAGGGGUAAUGGGCUCAGCCCAACACGCGCGCAGGCGCUGGCCGGAUGAUCCGGAGGAGGAGCCGGAUGAUCCGGGCUGGUCCGGAUGGUCCGGGUGGAGGCCCGGAUGAGCUGGAUGCCCGACUGGUGGCGGUGCAGGGCCGGAUGUACGGCUGGUGGUCCGGACGUCCGGGCAGGGUCCGGCUUCAGGUGAGAGCUUCGGGUGUCUUCGGGGUGAUUUAGCCGGAUCGUCCGGUCCGGGGUCUGGAUUGUCCGGGCUCUGUCCAGGUCGUCCAGGCCGCCAUCCGGAUCGCCCGACCAUCCUGGGCCUUGGUGCUUUUCCUCUCCGUCUUCAUGCAUGUCUUCCGCUUCUGGUUCUCCUUGCUUCCUAGCUUCUUCAUGGUUAACUCCUUGGUGCCUGAGUAUGCAUAGCGUUUCCGUUUGAGGUAGUAUCCAUGUCUCAUGUGAAUCGAAAGGGAAUUGUGAGAGGAGUGGUGUCACCUCGGUUUUAAGAGCUCUUGCGCGUGCUCGAGUCAUAGGUCCUUGUGGGGUUGGAUGUGUUGAUGUAGAGUCCAUGGGGAUGAUGGAAGGAUGCUCCGCAUCAUAGAUCCUCCUUCCCCUGGGGUAGAUACCGUGGCAGAGGCCGUGGUGGUGCUAGAGGUUUAGUGCCCAAAAAGGAAAAGUCUAAUGGUGCAGGUGUUUUGAGGACAAUGAUUUGGAUGACACAGUUGAAAGCCCCGCAAAACCUAUAGACCCAGAAGUGAAAGGGAAUGAUGCGAAGGUAUCGACUAGGAGUAGGAGGUACCUGGACCUGGAUGCUUUGGUUGUAAAUAAUGUUGUUGUGAUGACUCGUACUAGCAAAGGAGAAAGACAGUACUACCAAUUCUCCUUCAGCUCCAAUGCCACCGCCCCCAGCACAUGUACCCCCUAAUGAGCGGAAGAAGGUGAGGUAAGGACUCUCUCCGAGCAAGUCGACUACAUCAGAAAUUGAAUCGAUGGCCUCCCUAGAGGAGGAGCGCCGGGCUAAAGAAAUAAGGGAAGGAAGAGCAAAAAAGACUAUGAAUAACUUGGCAACAUCGGUGACAUCCCUCGAGGAAGACCGCCGGGUCUAAUGGGUAUCUUCUAUUGAAAUUGACAUGGUAUUGGCAACGACGCGACAAUUCGAGAGCUCCGCAAGUUCGUGGUUAAGUUUGCCCCUAAAGUGUUUUGCAUUUUCAAGACCCAAAUUACUAAGGUCCGUGUGGAUAAAUUAGCAGGCCUAGCUAUGUUUUGAAAUAAUGAAAUAAAGUUAGAGUAUCUCGACUACUCUAAGUACCAUGUUGAUACGAAAGUUUCUGACCUUGGAGGCGAUCCAUGGUGGUUGUCUUGCUUCUAUGGUGAAGCCCAAACGCAUCAACGUCACCAGACUUGGGACACAAUGAAGAAUCUAAGUACUUUGCAUAAUCUUCCAUGGUUGUGUUUAAGCAACUUUAAUGAUGUGUUGCGGUCUAAGGAGCACGAUGUAUUUAAUCAGCAUUGUCAGACACAAAUGCAUGGCUUCCGGGAGGUCGUCGAUGUGGGUUGUCUUGUUGAUCUGGGCUUACAGGAAAGACCAUGGACCUUCGAGAAGAAAGUUGCAGGUGGUUCAUUUACUAGGGUAAGGUUAGAUCGAGCUCUCAAAUCUGCCCCAUGGUGUGCUCAGUUUCCCUUGGCCCCAUUCUUUUAAACAUUGACGCAUCAAGCUCCGAGGCAAGGCAUGAAAGAGAUUUUUAGUAUGAAGUCAUGUGGGACAUGCAAGCAUAUGUAAAGAGGACCGUUGAUGAUGCAUGACAGUCGAAUGGAGAUUCUCAGUAUGAAGCCAUGUGGGACACACAAGCAGAUGUAAAGAGGACCGUCGAUAAUGCAUGGCAGUUGAACAGUCGCGAUCCAACGGCUACGGGAAUUCGCGCUAGACUAACAACACUAGCAGCCGAUUUGGGAAGUUGGAGUAAGAGCACUUUUGGCGGUGUGCAAGGGUAAUAAAGAAGCUUAAAAGAGAACCUGAUGUUUCAAGAAACAAUCCAACAAUAGUGGGGCCGUCCCAUGCAGAAAUCAAGAUGAAUGAUAGGCUCAUUAAGCCUUACCUUAGGGGAAGAAAUAAUGUGGCACCAACAUUCACGUUUACAAUGGUUAUCUAAAGGUGACAAAAAUACUCAAUUUUUUCACCUAAGGGCAUCGAUGAGGCGAAUGAAAAACCUAACAAAAGAUCUCCAAAGGCCAGAUGCACAAAAUGACCAACUACCCAACAGAGAUGCAAGCUUUGCCAUUGGAUUUUUAAAAGAACUUUAUUCAUUGAGGGGAUUCAAGAUAUUCAGGACGUGAUUGACCAUGUUCAAGUGUCACAACACAAAUGAAGGGAAGUGUGUACAUUGUCACACUCCCCGCCCUCAAGGUGCCUAGAGGACGGGCGAGACGCAGUAGAGCGUCGCCCCAAGAGCUGAUUCAAACUAUUGUUGGCCCCUUAUGGCGAGGAAGAAGUUUUUUCAAAAAUCUUUUCAUAUGUCCCACAAAAGCAUCAGGCCCAAAUGACUUUCAUGCACACUUCUUUCAGCAACAUUGGGAUUUUGUGGUGCAUCGGUCGUUAAGGCAAUUUUUGGUAUUGUUCUGGGAGAGGACAAAGUUGAAUGCAUAAAUGACACCAUAUUAGUUGUCAUCCCAAAGGUAUUAAACCUGACUCUUUUAUCUCACCUUUGGUUAUCAGCUUAUGUAGUGUGUUCUAUAAGAUCGCUUCAAAAGUUCUUGCAAACCAUUUAAAGCUGAUCUUAUCGGAAAUUAUCUUCAAGGAGCAAAUUGCGUUUGUCCCGGGAAGACUUAUAACCGAAAAUAUAAUUCAUAAUUCCUCCUAUGAAUGUUUACAUUUUAUGAAGAAGAGCAAAAAAUCAAUAGCUAUUGUGCACUCCAGUCGGAUAUGAUGAAGGCAUAUGACAGACUGGACCAAAGUUAUCUGGAAGCCAUGAUGGUGAAACUGGGAUUUGGUGCACCAUGGAUCUCAACAAUAAUGGGUGAGAUCGGUAUCUUUUUCUGUCCUUAUGAUUGGAAGCAAGCUAGAAGUAUUGAAAUCCUCAAGGGGGAUCACACAGAGAGAUCCUAUCUCUCCAUACCUUUUCUUGAUAGCAAUAGAGGGCCUUUCGUGCCUCCUUAAAUCUCAGCCGCAGUCAUCUUACUUUGGGUUAUCAAGGUGGCAUCAUCAACACCAUCGAUGAAUCACCUUUUAUCCAUAGAUUACAACCUAUUGCUUUCCAAGGCAAACGUUAAUGGAGUAGAGGAGGUUUCCAAUCUAUUGGGGACUUAUUACAGGGCGUCGAGAUAGAAGAUAAACUGUGAUAAAUCAUCCAUAUUUUUUAGCAAGGGAUGCCCUUAGAUCGUGCGUGAUGCGGUCAAAGGUACAUUAAGAGUUCCUAAUGAAUCUUUAAGUAGCAGAUAUCUGAGGAUGCCAACGGAUGUGGGCAUUCCAAAAAAGGGACUUUUAAGUAUCUUAGUGACCGUAUAUGUGAGAAGGUUAAAGGAUGGACAGGCAAGUAUUUAUCUGAACGUGAUACGUCUCCAACGUAUCUAUAAUUUAUGAAGCAUUCAUGCUAUUAUAUUAUCUGUUUUGGAUGUUUACGGGCUUUAUUAUACACUUUUAUAUUAUUUUUGGGACUAACCUAUUAACCGGAGGCCUAGCCCAUAUUGAAGUUUUCUUGCCUAUUUCAGUGUUUCAAAGAAAAGGAAUAUCAAACGGAGUCCAAAUGGAAUGAAACCUUCGGGAAAGUUAUUUUUGGAACGGAAGCAAUCCAGGGGACUUGGAGUGCAUGUAAGGGAAGUUUCAAGGUGGCCACGAGGCAGGGAGGCGCGCCCACCUCCCCUGGGCGCGCCCCCACCUUCGUGGGCCCCUCAUGGCUCCCCUGACGACUUCUUUCACCUAUAUAUCUCCAUAUACCCUAAAAACAUCAAACAACAGAAUAGAUCGGGAGUUCCGCCGCCGCGAGCCUCUGUAGCCACCAAAAACCUCUCGGGAGCCCGUUCCGGCACCCUGCCGGAGGGGGGAUCCCUCACCAGUGGCCAUCUUCAUCAUCCCAGCGCUCUCCAUGACGAGGAGGGAGUAGUUCACCCUCGGGGCUGAGGGUAUGUACCAGUAGCUAUGUCUUUGAUCUCUCUCUCUCUCUCUCUCUCGUGUUCUCUGUAUGACACGAUCUCGAUGUAUCGCGAGCUUUGCUAUUAUAGUUGGAUCUUAUGAUGUUUCUCCCCCUCUACUCUCUUGUGAUGAAUUGAGUUUUCCCCUUGAAGUUGUUUUGUCGGAUUGAGUCUUUAAGGAUUUGAGAACACUUGAUGUAUGUCUUGUCGUGCUUAUCUGUGAUGACAAUGGGAUAUUCAUGUGAUCCACUUGAUGUAUGUUUUGGUGAUCAACUUGCGGGUUCACCUUGUGAACUUAUGCAUAGGGGUUGGCACACGUUUUCAUCUUGACUCUCCGGUAGAAACUAUGGGGCACUCUUUGAAGUAUUUUGUGUUGGUUGAAUAGAUGAAUCUAAGAUUGUGUGAUGCAUAUCGUAUAAUCAUACCCAUGGAUACUUGAGGUGAAAAUGUAGUAUCUAGUUGACAUUAGGGUUUUGGUUGAUUUGUGUCUUAAGGUGUUAUUCUAGUACGAACUCUAUGAUAGAUCGAACGGAAAGAAUAUCUUCGUGUUAUUUUACUACGGACUCUUGAAUAGAUAGAACAGAAAGGAUAACUUUGAGGUGGUUUCGUACCCUACCAUAAUCUCUUCAUUUGUUCUCCACUAUUAGUUACUUUGGAGUGACUCUUUGUUGCAUGUUGAGGGAUUGUUAUAUGAUCUAAGUAUGUUAUUAUUGUUGAGAGAACUUGCACUAGUGAAAGUAUGAACCUUAGGCCUUGUUUCCUAGCAUUGCAAUACCGUUUAUGCUCACUUUUAUCAUUAGUUACCUUGCUGUUUUUAUAAUUUCAGAUUACAAAAACCUAUAUCUACCAUCCAUAUUGCACUUGUAUCACCAUCUCUUCGCCGAACUAGUGCACCUAUACAAUUUAGCAUUGUAUUGGGUGUGUUGGGGACACAAGAGACUCUUUGUUAUUUGGUUGCAGGGUUGCUUGAGAGAAAUCAUCUUCAUCCUACGCCUCCCACGGAUUGAUAAACCUUAGGUCAUCCACUUGGGGGAAAUUUGCUACUGUCCUACAAACCUCUGCACUUGGAGGCCCAACAACGUCUACAAGAAGAAGGUUGUGUAGUAGACAUCAGAACGUGGCAAAGAUGUUUUGCUCAAAUUAGUUUGCUAGGCCAUUCUUGUCUACUCAAUCGCUUGUUUCAAGCUUCCGCGAGGUUUAUGCGAGCACUUAAAUUCAAUUAUUUAGAAGUUUUGCUAGGGCAGUAAGCAAGGGGAAAUUAAGGUGGCUUGGGUCUCAUGGAUUCAUUGACAAAACCCAAUCAUAAAGGUGGAUUGGAUUCAGGGCCUCGCGAGGCAAUCAUGGAGCAUCUUGCAAGAACCAUCAUCCAUGAGCGCUAGGAUUCUGAAAGCGGUAACUUCCUAGAAGGCUCGAUUCUCACGGGUGAGCUUGGUCCUAGGCCAUCAUAGAUUUGGCUUGCAAUUCUGGAAGGGAGAGAUAUACUGAAGCAACACAUAAUCAGGAGGAUAUGCAAUGAAUUUUCAACACAUAUAUGAGAAGACAACUGAAUUUCCAAGAAGGCGUCACUCGGACCCGUUAUUUCAGUUGUGCAAAACCCACCCCAAUUGAUUUCGGAGCUUCUCACACCGGCGACUGCCUCUUCGGACGAGCCGCUGAUUCGGAGUAUAUUUUUACCAGUAGAUGGUGAGGAGAUAUUGAGAAUACCUGUUUGCACAAGGAGCAUUGACGAAUUUUGGGCUUGGAACUCGGAGCGUAAGGGCUAUUUCUCAGUUCGUCAGCGUAUAGACUCCUCGUCACAAUGAAGCGACAUCGUGAGAACUAGCUGAAGGAAAUAUGCCCUAGAGGCAAUAAUAAAGUUGUUAUUUUAUAUUUCCUUAUUCAUGAUAAAUGUUUAUUAUUCAUGCUAUAAUUGUAUUAACCGGAAACUUGAUACAUGUGUGAAUACAUAGACAAAACACCGUUUCCCUAGUAUGCCUCUACUUGACUUGCUCGUUGAUCAAAGAUUGUUAAGUUUCCUAGCCAUGGACAUGUGUUGUCAUUUUAUGAACGGGAUUACAUCAUUAGGAGAAUGAUGUGAUGUACAAGACCCAUCCGUUAGAUUAGCAUAAUGAUCGUUUAGUUUUAUUUCUACUGCUUCCUUCAUGUCAAAUACAUAUUCCUCCGACUAUGAGAUUAUGCAACUCCCGGACACCGGAGGAAUGCCUUGUGUGCUAUCAAACGUCACAAUGUAACUGGGUGAUUAUAAAGGUUCUCUACAGGUAUCUCUGAAGGUGUUUGUUGGGUUGGCAUAGAUCGAGAUUAGGAUUUGUCACUCCGAGUAUCGGAGAGGUAUCUAUGGGCCCUCUCAGUAAUGCACAUCAUAUGAAUCCUUGCAAGCAAUACGACUAAUGAGUUAGUUGCGGGAUGAUGCAUUAGGGAAUGAGUAAAGAGACUUGCUGGUAACGAGAUUGAACUAGGUAUGAAGAUACCGACGAUCGAAUCUCGGGCAAGUAACAUACCGAUGACAAAGGGAAUAACGUAUGUUGACAUAGCAGUUCGAUCGAUAAAAAUCUUCGUAGAAUAUGUGGAACCAAUAUGAGCAUCCAGGGUCCGCUAUCGGUUAUUGAUCGAAGAGGUGUCUUGGUCAUGUCUACAUAGUUCUCGAACACGUAGGGUCCGCACGCUUAACGUUCGAUGACAAUAUGUAUUAUAUGAGUUAUGUGUUUUGGUGACCGAAGGUUGUUAGGAGUCCCGGAUGUGAUCAUGGACAUGACGAGGAGUCUCAAAAUGGUCGGGAGGUAAAGAUUGAUAUAUUGGAAGGUAGUAUUCAGACGCCGGAAGGGCUCCGGUGUGUAUCGGGUACAUACCGGAGUACCGGAGGGGUUACCAGAACCCCCCGGGGAAAGAUAUGGGCCAUAUGAGGGAGGCACACCAGCCCACAAGGGUCUGGCGCUCCCCCCACCAAGGGGAAACCGAAUUGGACAAGGGGUGGGGGCGGUGCCCCCCCUUUCCUUCUCCUUCUCCUACUCCUUCCCCCUUCCCCCCUCCGAAAAAAGGAAGGGGGCCGAAUCCCACUAGGAGUCCAAGUGGGACCCCCCCACUUGGGGUGCGCCUAGGCCGUCCUCCUCUCCCUCCCUCCUUUAUAUAUGGGGGGCGCCCCUAUGAGAAACACCAAUUCCUCCAAGCCGUGUGCAGCGUGCCCCUCCACAGUUUACGCCUCUGGUCAUAUUCUCGCAGUGCUUAGACAAAGCCCUGCGCGAAAAUCACAUCACCAUCACCGUCACCACACCGUCGUGCUGACGGAACUAAUCUACUCCUUCAACCCUCUGUUGGAUCAAGAGCUCGAGGGAUGUCAUCACGCUGAACGUGUGCAGAACUCGGAGGUGACGUACGUUCGGUACUCGAUCGGUCGGAACGAGUAGACGUUCGACUACAUCAACUGCGUUAAACAAACGCUUCCGCUUUCGGUCUACGAGGGUACGUGGACAGACUCUCUCCCUCUCAUUGCUAUGCAUCUCCUAGAUAGAUCUUGCGUGAGCAUAGGAUUUUUUUUGAAAUGGCAUGCUACGUUUCCCAUCAGUGGCAUCUGAGCCAGGUCUAUGCGUAGAUGAUAUGCACGAGUAAAACACAAAGAGUUGUGGGCGGUGAUCGUCAUACUCCUUACCACAAAUGUCUUAUCUUGAUUCGAUGGUAUUGUUGGAUGAAGCGGCCCAGACCAACCUUACAUGACCACGUUCGUGAGACCGGUUCCACCGACAGACAUGCAACUAAUUUUGCAUAAAGGUGGCUGGCGGGUGUCUAUUUCUCCAACUUUAGUUGAAUCGAAUUUGACUGCGGUCGGUCCUUGUGAAGGUUAAAACAACAAACUUGAUAAAUCACCAUUGUGGUUUUUGUGCCGUCGGUAAGUACGGUUCUUGCUAGAAUCCCGUAGCAACCACGUAAAACUUGCAACAACAAAGUAGAGGACGUCUAACUUGUUUUUGCAGGGCAUGUUGUGAUGUGAUAUGAUCAAGACAUGAUGUGAUAUACGUUGUUGUAUGAGAUGAUCAUGUUUUGUAAAAGUUAUCGGCAACUGGCAGGAGCCUUAUGGUUGUCGCUUUAUUGUAUGUAAUACAAACGCCAUGUAAUUGCUUUACUUUAUCACUAAGUGGUAGCGAUAGUCGUAGAAGCAAUAGUUGGCGAUACAACCACGGCGCUACGAUGGAGAUCAAGGUGUCAAGCCGGUGACAAUGGAGAUCAUGACGUUGCUUUGGCGAUGGAGAUCAAAAGUACAAGAUGAUGAUGGCCAUAUCAUGUCACAUAUUUUGAUUGCAUGUGAUGUUUACCUUUUUGCAUCUUAUUUUGCUUAGUACGGCGGUAGCAUUAUAAGAUGAUCCCUUAACUAAAUUUCAAGGUAUAAGUGUUCUCCCGAGUAUGCACUGUUGCGAAAGUUCUUCGUGCUGAGACACCACGUGAUGAUCGGGUGUGAUAAGCUCUACGUUCUAAUACAACGGGUGCAAGCCAGUUUUGCACAUGCAGAAUACUCGGGUUAAACUUGAUGAGCCUAGCAUGUACAGACAUGGCCUCGGAACACUGGAGACCGAAAGGUCGAACGUGAAUCAUAUAGUGGAUAUGAUCAACAUAGAGAUGUUCACCAUUGAUGACUACUCCAUCUCACGUGAUGAUCGAACAUGGUUUAGUUGAUUUGGAUCACGUAUCAUUUAAAUGACUUGAGGGAUGUCUAUCUAAGUGGUAGUUCUUAAGUAAUAUGAUUAAUUGAACUUAAUUUAUCAUGAACUUAGUCCUGAUAGUUUUUGCAUAUCUAUGGCCCGUUCUACCAUUCCCUUGAAUUUUAAUGUGUUCCUAGAGAAAGCUAAGUUGAAAGAUGAUGGUAGCAACUACACGGAUUGGGUCCUUAACUUGAGGAUUAUCCUCAUUGCUGCAAAGAAGAAUUAUGUCCUUGAUGCACCGCUAGGUGUACCACUUGCCCCAGCAACUGCAGACAUUGUGAAUGCCUGGCAGUCGCAUGUUGAUGACUACUUGUUAGUUCAGUGUGCCAUGCUUUAUGGAUUAGAAUCGGGACUUCAAAGAUGUUUUGAACGUCAUGGAGCAUAUGAGAUGUUCCAUGAGUUGAAGUUAAUAUUUCAAGAAAAUGCCCGAGUUGAGAGAUAUGAAGUCUCCAACAAGUUCUAUAGCUGCAAGAUGGAGGAGAACAGUUCUGUUAGUGAGCACAUACUCAGAAUGUCUGGAUACCAUAACCACUUGACUCAUCUGGGAGUUAAUCUUCCAGAUGAUUGCAUCAUUGAAAGAGUUCUUCAAUCACUGCCACCUUGCUACAAAGGCUUCAUGAUGAACUACAAUAUGCAAGGGAUGGAGAAGACUAUUCCCGAGCUCUUUGCAAUGCUAAAGGCUGUGGAGGUAGAAAUCAAGAAGGAGCAUCACUACAAAAAAAAUACACUUCCGUGAUGAUACGUGUUUGUCACAGUAGGUCGCGUUUUUGUCAUGCAUGUACAUCCAUGACAAAUUUAUGACAGAAUCAAGAUAGUCAUACCUGUGCUGUCAUAGAAGUGUUCCAUGACAUUACCAAAAUUAUCAUCACGGAAGUGUCCACUUCCAUGACGAUAAAUCGUGCGUCACAGAAGUGCUUUCGUCAAGGGUGACCGACACGUGGCAUCCACCAUAACGGAACGCCGUUAAGCUAUCGGGUCAGAUUUUGGAUCCGAUAACCCGUUAACAGCCCCGACCAAUGGGAAAUUUCCACGUGUAAAAUUCUGAUUGGCCGAAAGGAACACCUGUCAGCUCGUCAGUGGGACAGAUGUCACUCGUCCAUUGGAGGAGACAUGCCUAUGGUACGUUGACACGUGGCUGGGCCCAACAGAGUCCCAAAUAGGUUAAAAAGGCUGACCCAGUCAAAGGCCCGUAGAACUUAAUCAGGUACUAGUGGGCCAGCCCAAUAACGGCCUGCUUAAUAAAGGUCCAUUUACAGCCCGAAACCAGAUCUGGCCCGUUAAUUGUUUGCCCAAUAUUUGGGCCCAUUUACGGCCCGAAGCCAGAUCUGGCCCAUUAAUUGUUUGCCCAAUAUUUGGGCCCAUUUGCGGCACGAAGCCAGAUCUGGCCCGUUAAUUGUUCGCCGAAUAUUCGGGCCCAACUACAGCCCAGUGACUUUCGGCCUGUUAGAGGCCUGAUGUAGACAUGGGCCCAUUUCAGCCCGGUGUGACUUUCGGCCUGGGAAUGGCCCGUGCUGCCCAUGGGCCAUAUAUGGUCCGACGGGACAUCGGGCCCACUAACGGCCCGUGCUAAAGGUGGCAACAGUUAAGCCCAACGUGACUUUGGGCCUGUUAAAGGCCUGUCGCGUAAUUCGGCCCGUUGAUGCCUGUACUAAGCUUUCGGCCUCUUAAAGGCCCAUGAUAUCAGUGGGCCAACUAAGGCCCGAGAUAUGUUUCGGCCUGGUAACGGCCCGUGAGCUAACUGGGCCCAUAAUGGCCAGGUCUACAUUUCGGCCUGCUGAAGGCCCGUGGACGACUAGUGAAAACUGAGGCCCAACAUGCAUUUUGGCCUGCUAAAGGCCCGUGGCUUCAUCUCGGCCGUAACAGGCCAGUACAAUAUUCAGCCUGUUAAUGGCCCAAUGCUACCUGGGCCAAACUAAGCGCUGGGUCGACAAAAGGCCCAACUAAAAUAUAGGUGGGUGUAAGUUUGGGCCUGGCGCAAUGUGUGAAGGCCCCAAUCAUUCGGGCCCCAGAAAGACGCAGGCCGGCCAAUUGUGGACCGUUAUCGAAUGUUUUGGCCCGGUCGACUACAUCUAAUUUUUUUUUCAGAUAGCGAAUGAUGGCAGUAACUAGUAGGAAUUAAGAACAAACCUAGUCUACACAAUAAAGAAAUUACGGCAUAGUAACUAAGAAUAAACCUACACUAUACAAUAAAGGAUUUAAGGUAUAUUACAUCCACUGGGCAUCGAAGUUCGCCACCAGUAAUCAUAAAGCACAACGAAGAAGCAGAUUACAAAAACUGGGCACCAUUGCAGCGUAACAAAAUAAUACUGAACCGAGACCACUUCCAAGACAGUUCAAGAAAGGUUAGCCUUGCGGGGGAACUGCUGCGCAAGCUGCUGAGCAAGGCUGUGAGACCGGCCUAGCAUGUCGGUCAUAGCUUCCAGGUGUAGCUGUUUAGCGAUGAGGUUCUCAUUGGUGUUCUCCGCAAUCUUUCUUAGAGAUAGGACUUCAAGUCGAAGUUGAGUUGCAGAAUGCCUUUCUGCUAGAACUUGGGACUGAAGAAGUCGAACUGAUUCAGACAAAGAAUUCUGUGAGCUUGUCUGGCUGUUAGUCUCAAGUAACUUGAACACUGCAUCAAGACAAGACUUUGGGGUUGUCUCACUAUCUUCAAGAUGUUUUGCCUUCUUUGCUGCAAUAUAUGUUGGGUUUGUCUCACAGCCUUCAGCAGACUUGUGCAUGCCAUCAGGCAUAUCACCCUGAAACAAAGCAGAGAGAUGACAGGUUUUCCACGUGUAUAAACAAAGAUGAUAACGGUUCUGUCAAUUCUAUCCAAUUUCAAAUUAGAAAAUAAAGAGUAAGUUCAAAAUAUCAAUAGCAUAAUUUGGCAUUGUUCAUAAUGCGGGGAGCUUCACCACACUACUGGAUUACCAUGUCAACAUAACAAGCAUAGAUGAAGGGCAAAGAAAAUCAUUGUAUCUAUUUUGGAUAAUGUGCAUGGCAUGUUGUUCAUAUCAUCAGCCGCAUCAGUAAGAUAAAACAGGAGAUGACAAGGUGCAAACGUGGGCUGCUUCACCACACACUGGAUUAUAGAUCCACAAAACCAAGCAUACAUAUAGGGAGUAUUAAGUAAUGUGCAUGGUAUGAAUAAGAAAUUUGGUUUUACAAGUAAAACUUAGAACUUACGGUUCUUACGAACAUGCAUUUUGGUAGAAACAGCAAACUAAACAGCAGUAAACGAUAGGGAGUAUGAGCAAAUUAAACAGCAGUUGAGGAUAAAGGCUUUAGAAGGACUGACUUACAUUAACAGUUAACACCGGCUUUAUAAUGCCCUUCUCCAUGUCAAGGGAAGGAUAACUCAAGAAUUUCAGCACAUAGUCUUCUUCAUAAGCAUUGCAUGUACUCUACAUUUUGUAGAGAGUAAUUAUAGAUAUGAUAAUACUGGAAGGGAUAGAGGAUAAUGAAGAUAAGAUGCAGAUUGAUGCUACAUAAUCAACUACCAAUCCCUGGAAGUACAAGCGUUACAGGACAAAAUGUACUGACAAGAGCAAUAGGCUACACUUCUGCACUGGCAUUGUCUGUGUAUUCACUUGUUGGUAAGAUUAAAUAUAGAUCUGAUCUCUUUUAGUAAAUGGUGGGCGAGGGAGAUAAGAUGCAGAAUGCUACAAAAUGAACCAAUCCCUCUUCCCAUAAUACAAGAGUGUUUUGAACACUGGUGUACUGUACAAAACAUUCUUAUAUUAUGGGAUGGAGAGAGUAGCUGUUAAUGUAAGUACAGUGAUAGACCACGUUCAGUCCUUACAAGAGGACUGCAGAGCUAAACCUCUUCAAAAGCAUUGGGUUGAUUCUAAAUUUGUGUAAGAGUCUAUACGGAUCUUAUAAUGUCCACCAAAUGGGCGAUUACGAGGCUAACAUGUGCAGUGAUGCUACAUAAUCAAACAACUAUGUAAGUAAGUAUGGUCAUACAGGGCAAGAGGUACUCACGAGAGCAAUGCAGUGUGCUGUAUAGUUGUGAGAUUCUGUGGUCCCUUGAGAACGAAUGUUCUUCUGUUAACAGUUUUCGUACAAGUGAGACAUUAAGGCAAAUGCAGAAAUGUGGUUCAAAUUGUGAUGUGAUAUCAUAGACAGUACCUUACGCUGCAGCUGAGACCAAUGUGUAACAAGAUUAUUCCAGUCACCGUCGGAUAAAUGUAGCACCGGAGACUUUAUAGAAAUUUCGUUCAGAGGCUUGCCAUCGAAGUGCGCUUGCCUUAGGUAGGAACGAUACUUCAUCAACGAGUGCUUGAAAAGCGCAACCAACUCUUGCUCAUCAUCACAAUCCAGUUUGCUCCUUGCCUAUUUAAAAGAAUGAAAUCUUGUGUCUUCUGUCAGCAGAAACAUAUGCAGUAAUGACCAUGAAUAACAAGUACAUUACUUACGCGUAAGUUGCAGAGGAAGACUGGAAAUUGUUCUGUGUCUGCGGUAUAAUCUUUCCAUGAAGGAAAGAUGCGCACAAAGUUCCUGACGACAACAUAAGCUUCGUCUUCUAAACUGGGAAGAAAUGGAACAGGGGUCCUAUUUGCUGCAAUUGGGGCUCUCUCUGGUUCGAAAAGGGAUUUGGCAACUGGAUUUGGUGUACUCUUUGCUGGAAUGGGGGUUUUGCAUCAUACAACUGGUGCUAUGUCAACUGGCAUAAUCAUACUGUUUGCUGCAGUUGGGGUCUGCUGAGUUGGGGCAUCAGAAAUGUCCAGUGUAGUAGGGAUAGAGUCUGCUAGAGUUGGGGUAUUUUGUGGGUCAGGUGAUAUUGCAACUACACCUAAUGGGCUAUUUGAUUUAUCAGGUGCCACUACCUUUUCCAAAUACUUUGCUUGUGCUCCUCCACGAUCAGCAAUUGCCCUCUCCUUUUGAACGUCUGAUACCCAAGAAUAGCAUUUGAAUGGAUAAAUAUGGUAUGAUGACAGAUGGAAUAUGUACUGAAAAUGGAUAGGCAGGGCGUAUUCACAUACACGAUGUGUAAACUAAGCUAAUGGCAGUUCAACAAAGUAGAAGCAAUGCAAAGCAUCAGUUGCAAGAUAUAUGCAAGCAAUGUAACCUUGGAAAGUUAGAGCAAGUACCUUGAUGGGUGAAUAAGAUAGGGCAUCUUCCUCUGACUCCUCCACUAGGGAGCUACAUUGACUUAGGUCUCCCUCUAGCUCAGAAUCACUGUUAGGAUCAUAUUCUGAGCAUGAAUCUGUAGGUGGAGAGCGUUUGCAUUGCAUUGCAUCCAGACUUGAUUUCAGUCCCUUAAUGCCAAGUUUGACAGCCAUGGCAUUGUUCUGCUUUAUUCUUUUCAUGCGCGCAAGCUCAUAAUAAUUAUGAUGCUGUUCAGAAUCUGAGAUUCAUGAAAACAUAAAAAGUAGUCAGAUUAUCUAUGGAAUGCAUUGCGGAUUCAACUCGGAGAGUGUCUCCCUAUAAACCCAUGCAUAUCCAAAGUUCACCUCCCCAACUGUGCUGACCAGACCACACACAGAAAUGCAAACCCCUUAUGUCUCUAUAACAGGCAGGCACACAUUUCAAAACUAAAGUAGGAACAUUAGAAUCAUAUGAAAUUCGUAUUUGAACAAAUAAACUAAGCAAUUAUGAGUGGCGUAAUGUUUAGCUUCAAGGGUGGAGUGUUGGUAGUGCGACACAAAGCAAGUAGGCAGGUUGUAUUCCAUGUAAAAGAUCGAAACCUAUGUAAAAGCUGGAAAUGACACUUUCUUUCUAUACAAUGCAGUGUUCGUUACCCACACAUGAUGGAAGAGAUCACAUAGAGAAAUACUAUUCACUUAGGUCUACAGUUCCAGUAUUUAGAAACAGGGUGGUCCACCCUAAAAGAAUAUUGACAACAAAUAUGACAAGGCAAGCAUAGAUGUAGUGAAUCAAUCAUUUACUUGUGAGCUUAUUAGGACAAGUAUGCAGAAUUGUAACUCCAGUAAGAGACCGUCCAAAAUAUGAAUGAAGAAGUUUGUCUAGCACUUAUUGUUUGCAACUAAUCGACAUGAAUAAUUGGAUAUUAUAUCGAAUGAGUAAGAAAGACAAGUAAAAUUGUCAACAAACCUGGCUUGCAGUAGUAAUCUGGGUCAAUGUCACUACGACCAACAAUCCAAAAUGACUAGUUUCUGUUCCGAGGGCCGGAAUUUUGAAAACCCUGUGAACUUUAGAGGUACUAAAGAUUACCGAAAUACAUCUGAACCAUUAAGUGUAGGUAGCACUGAGCACACAACAAACCCUAAUGUUAGUCCUGGCCUCCUGUUAGUCCGGUGUCUCCUCCUAGAGUCAUGCCAUCCGGGGACGGCAAGUCGCCGGCGAGGCAGGCGGCUGGGGGCGAGUAGAGAUCGGAAGCGCACAGCAGAACAGAGGGGAAUCGGGGCCUGGGACAACCCAAAAUCCCAGGGUGGGCCGGCCCACCGUGGGCACCCUGUAGAGAUACACACCCAAGCGGCAAACAUGCAUUUUCGAAACUAAUUUAGGAACAUUUAGCUCACCAAUUAAACAACUCUGUUUUAAUAAUAUCAGAUUCGUAUUUGAACAUCUAAGCUUGUUUAGCUUGAUGCGUGGAGCAGUGUUAUUAUGACACGAAGCACGUAUUCUGAUCGUAUAGUGAUCAUAAAAGGGGGAAACUCUAAGCAUAUAUUUUUUAGCAAAAGAGGGUUUCCCUCCGAUUUCUAUUAAAGAAACCACCACGUAACCAACAUGAUCAAUUAAACCCUAAGCAUGAUCAAUAAAAUCGUAUUAUGGCUGUGCCAUGGCAGAUUUGAAGCUGCAAACCGGAGAAAUGAUAUUUAGCAUCCAUUGUUUGCUUCAAACUAAGAACUAAAUUCUAAGAGCUGGAAAGAAAGUAGAGUAACCAAGUUAAGAUCUAUUUUCUGGUUGAGAUCAAAAAGUUGAGGAGAUAUGAAGUACCACCUCUCUUGCGGCGCCGUGUAGGCAUCGCGGGUGCGAUGGCUGUCGGUGGUGUUGAAGCAGAUCUGCGACGGUAGACGGGUGCAUCGGGGGAUAAGUCCCGUUGCGGUGGAAGAGAAGGUCGUGUGAGCGGCCCCGGCAAAGAGGACGACGGUGCCGAUGAAGUGAGAGGACGCGAUGCAAGGCUAUUGGUCGGUCGCCGUGGAUGAGAAACGUCCAUCUCUAGCAGUGGACGACGCGGUCUUGGUAGGCGCUCCGGCAUGGUGGAGGACGCUGGCGAUGGAUGUGGUGGAUGACGACGACGAUGGAUGGGGUGGCGGACGGAGGCUGGUGUGGGGAUGGGGUGUUCUAGCGCGGACGGUGUAUGAAUGGGAAAAUGGAGGGAGAGGUAGGGGGAACCAUGUUUUUGGGACGCGCCUGUCUGAAAUAUGGGAAAGUUACGAACUUAGCCCCCGUUUAAAAUUUGGACGUCUCGUCGGUUGGGGAUAGGACGGUAAUCUCGCAUCUCGCCAAUAUUUGCCCAGAGCGAUUUCAGGCGAGGAGAGGGUGGUUGGCGCCCAUGGUUGGCACCCACGGUGUAUGAACAGGGCUGACAGGUCGGGCGGUUGUGUCACGUCUGAGUGAAGUUACAAACCUGCCCCUAUUGAAAAUAUUUGCCUACGUCGAUUUCGGCCGAGUCGAGUUUUUUUGCCGCCCACCGUGUAUGAAUGGGGAAUGGAGGGAGAAACAGAGGUCUUUCGGAUGAGCUUGGAUCAAAUAUGUUUUGCCGCCCAUGUUUGAUGCCCACCGUGUUGGAAUGGGCUCAGAGGCGGUCGUGUCACGUCUAAUUGAAGUUACUAACCUACCCCUAUUUAGAGCAGUGGAAAUCGGGCCGAUGGAUUGUCCGUGUAAUGGGUAGACAGUAAUUUCCAUCUCCCAAACACUUGGCUUCGGGCAGCCGACGUGGGAGUGGACAUUUUGCAGCUUCUUUCGAAUUUGGGACAAUAAGCAUCCAUGUUUACCCUGGCAACUAAAUUCAAAUCCAUUUUGUAUUCCUAUAUGAAUCUUUAUAAAUCGUUCUAUGUGUUUUUAUAUAUCUUCAAAAGGACGACAAAGAUGUAUUCCACUGUCAUAUAUGAAUAUGGUUUACAAAUGCUGAUACUCAAAUUUAGAAACUAGUAUCCAGUUUAAGGUGAAUUCGAAUAUUUGGAACACUUCAUGUCCAACUCAAAUGUCACACACAGCAUAAUGUGUACUCCCAUUUAGACAUGUACACAAGCGAUGUAUCAAGAUUCAAAUACCGAGUCAAUCAACCAAGAAUGUAUAGAACUAAUAGACAUAUAGACACUUAUACAGUAUAUGGAUCAAUAAUAUCAACUAACAUACAUAAGCCAGGCCGCUGUACUUUUUUUUUGCUACAACAACAUCUUUUUUUUAGCCAGCAUCUUGGCCCUUUCCGAUGCAUGCCAUGGUCCAUCUAUACUACUACUAUUGCUGAAUGCACAUUCAGCCCGAUUGGCAUAUUUGUAGGUCUGGCACAGCAAUCCAAAUGAAAUGUCUCCGAGUCUUAUCAAUUAAUACAGACUUGUACUCAAAUAAAAUUACAAACCAAAAAACAAAAAAAAAA
rnacentral:lncRNA from 1 species